GGUCGGGACCCUGAGACUCUCAAGGGCAGAGUUGGCCAGAGCCUGAAUGUAAGAGUCGCCCAGACAUGCGGGCCGCUGCUCCCGCCGCCCACCCGUGGUGCCCUCCUUCCGUGCUUCCCUGCCGGGCUCGGGGUGGAGGUUGGAGGGCUGCGCAGGGCUGCCCCACGCCGAGCUGCUCCCCCAGCCUCCUCGCCACCGGCCUCCGGGACGUCGGGGCAGAGGACGAGUGGCCAGGACGUACCUGGUGUCCUGGGACCAGGACGCACCUCUGCAGCGCCGACGUACCUGCUCCAGGGUGUCCAGCCCCACGGGGCCGGCUGUCCCUCGGGUCCCCAGCUUCCCAGGGGCUCGGCGGGGAACACGGUCAUCACGGGGGGAGAAAUCCCCGUCGUGCAGCGCGGGUGUGAGCAGACCAAUAAGCACGACAACGCCUGCGGCUUCCAGGCCCUCAGGAGCCCCCGGCGCGGACUAUUGGGGACUGAAGAAGUAAUAGGGCAGAGGAGUCAGAGUCACUGGAAUAUUCUGGAAAUGCCUCUGGUACCCGCGUUCACAGCAGACGCCACAGUUUGCCCCGCGGGUGGCCUUGCCCUGGGCUCACCGGGCACGAGUUUUGCCGCCUUAGUCCCUGCGCUCUGCUUCCAUAAGGGCCGGGGUGGCCUCGUCCCCAGGGUCGCCAGCCACAGGGCGAAGCAGCCAAGGGGACGGGACAUGCGGACACACUUGGCUGCGAGUCACACCCGGAACCGGGGAUCGUGCCCUUACCCCCUUUCUUUGGGAGCAUGCCUGUCGGUCCUCUCCGGCUUUAGCACCUGUUACUUGUUUCCGAGCGUGGGGUGCAGAUACCGCGCGGCGCCCGGGCGUGGGGACCUCGGCACUGGCUUCGGGAACAACCUCCGGCGGGAUUGUUCCUUCAGUCGUCCCCGAGUGACUCGGGCGCACCGCGGCCUGGACAAGGUUCCCGGCGGGCGGGACCCAGGGACCAGCGGAGCGCGGUCCCCAGCUCUCAAGAUCGUACCUGGGGUGGGAAGACGGGGACACUGA
rnacentral:lncRNA from 12 species